GAGACAUGAGAACCAGUUGAAGCUCGAGGCAAAGCUUCAGGAUUUGGAGGUAGAAUGGAAUGGAGGCACCGAAACUAAGGAGGAAAUAAUUGCUAGGAUACAACAAAGGGAAGAAGCUGCAGUUAAGCGCGAACGAGCAAUGGCUUAUGCAUUCUCCCAUCAGUGGAGGGCAAGCUCAGGGAUCAACCAAGGGCCAUUUGUGUAUGAGCUAGCAAAAGGUAAUUGGGAUGGAGUUGGGUGGACAAG